UCGAUUUCGCUACUGUACAGUCAAUGGCGGCAUGGCAGCGAGCCAGCCGCUGGUGCCGCCUUCGACGCGCGUUGGAAUUUGGAAGUGUAUGGUUGUAUACAUGUGGACUUGAAGUGGCGUUGCAUGUGGGAGGCCCCGUCGGUAAUGUUCGCAGACUGGUCAUUUGAUGAUACGUGUGCACAGUGGUAGUGCUUGGGUGCCUCAAGAGGGAAUCACAGAGCAUAGCCACCAAUACAGCUAAAAGUCAUAGAAGAUUUUUAAAAUUGUUAUUUGAUUUUGUGUUGUUUCAGCAGUAGUAUGUCCUUCAACAAUCUGUUAUGUCCAACCAUGGAAUGAGUUGCAUGUUACUAUGUCAACCAAACGAGGCAACAACAAUUAGUCAGUGGAAAACAACACAUUCAUUCCUGCGGAUGGUUUUGAGUUUGGCGAAAGGACAAAAUCCAAUAGGGUUUCACUAUUUUCAAUUCACAAUAGUAAUGGUUUCGAAGAGGAUAUUGACGGAGUUUCGGUAUAAAAAAGUAUAAGUACAUGGAUCCUUUUACUAUCACACAUGUUAUGGUAUUUUUACAAAAUCAUUGAAGUGCUUAUCUGGACCCCCUUGUUUUCUGUGGCCCCGUUCCCCUUGACUUAUAUUAUUUUCUUUAACCCUUUUGUGCGUGUAAAACUAAAGGCUAAAAGAAGAAAAAUGAUUCAAAAAUUGUGGGAGAGAAUCAUCAAAGAAUCAUACACGUUUAGGUAAUCCAAGGAAAUAAGAAAGAGUAUUAACUCGGCGUAGUCUUCGAUUCCGUCUUUUUAAAAGCUGUUUUUUCUGUGGGUGGAACUUUUUUGGUCGAGAUGUUAUGGGUGUCUUAAAGGCACUGAAGGUUGCAUUAGAUCCCCAACAAAAAGGGAACACUGGAAAUCCCAGGUGGUGAUGGGAAUUAGUGACAAUGUUACGGUGUAGAUAACUUCAGAAAGUGUGACGCUAGCUGAUGUAAACCGCACCAGCUGUGCUAUUACCAAGUCUGUCUCACUUUUGCCGCCUAGCAGGAAAAGGUUGUGAGAGUAGCAGAAGAAGAGGAAAUUGCAGUAAACCCGUUUUUGAAAGAAGCCAAACAUUCCGAUGAUAUGGGAGCCCAGCCUGUGGAAACAAAAACACUAUGUUUCAGAUAGAAAGACAAAAGGAACACAACGUUCCUAAGCUACUUCUGAGGACCACUGUCACCGAAAGAAAAAUCACAUCGCUUAUAGACUCGGAAGGUGAAAGCGAGACCCAAAAAUUUGCAGCAACCAAGCAAGUAAAGGACCACAAUGUGUACAUGCUUCACAUCCGGGAAAUUAAUACUGCAGUAACCAGAGCGGUAAAAAAAAAUUGGCACCAAUUCCUACAUAUCAGAUUUUGCCGCAACGCAUUCAAGAAUGGGGCUUAACACCUUGCAUGGCUUCGGUCCCAACUCAGUUUACGCAGCAGAUGCCCUUACUAUACGACCCAGCAAUCUUUGCGGUCUUCCAGUGCCGGGAAUUUGUUAUGAUCUUAUGCAUGCAAUUGCUCAACAUGGAAUUAGGUGGAACGGUGAAGAGAAAAGAUGUUUGCGAAGAUGGGCAAUUCGAGAUCCAAGAAGAAAAGGAGUGCCCAUUGUUUAAAGGCUUAGAGACUCGGCAACUGGUAUUGCUGACCCGUGGUGACAGCGUCGAAUAGGUUGAAGAAGGGUUGCGUUGCGUCGCAAAAUAUUCGCGUCAUAUUAUUUCCGUCAUUGCUGAUACUAAUCGCCACCUUUACGGAGUCCAGUUCCAUCCUGAAGUUGAUUUUACCGA